GUGAGGAAUAUUGCGCAAUGGAGGCAACUCUGACGCAGCCAUGCCGCGUGCAGGAAGAAGGCGCUACGCGUUGUAAACUGCUUUUAACCGGGAAGAAACCCCAGGACGUGUCCUGGGUUGACGGUACCGGAGGAAUAAGCACCGGCUAACUUCGUGCCAGCAGCCGCGGUAAUACGAAGGGUGCAAGCGUUAUCCGGAUUCAUUGGGUUUAAAGGGUGCGUAGGCGGAGCGUUAAGUCAGUGGUGCAAUCCUGCAGCUUAACUGUAGACUUGCCAUUGAUACUGGCGCUCUUGAGUGCGCUUGAAGUGGGCGGAAUGUGCCGUGUAGCGGUGAAAUGCUUAGAUAUGGCACAGAACACCAAUUGCGAAGGCAGCUCACUAAGGCGAUACUGACGCUGAGGCACGAAAGCGUGGGGAUCGAACAGGAUUAGAUACCCGUGGAGUCC
rnacentral:rRNA from 1 species